UAGGGAAUCUUCCGCAAUGGACGAAAGUCUGACGGAGCAACGCCGCGUGAGUGAAGAAGGAUUUCGGUUCGUAAAACUCUGUUGUUAGGGAAGAAAAAAUGUAUAGUAACUAUAUACAAAAGAGACGGUACCUAACCAGAAAGCCACGGCUAACUACGUGCCAGCAGCCGCGGUAAUACGUAGGUGGCAAGCGUUGUCCGGAAUUAUUGGGCGUAAAGCGCGCGCAGGUGGUUUAGAAAGUCUGAUGUGAAAGCCCACGGCUCAACCGUGGAGGGUCAUUGGAAACUAAUAAACUUGGGUGCAGGAGAGAAAAGUGGAAUUCCUAGUGUAGCGAUGAAAUGCGUAGAGAUUAGGAGGAACACCGGUGGCGAAAGCGGCUUUUUGGCCUGCAACUGACACUGAGGCGCGAAAGCGUGGGGAGCAAACAGG
rnacentral:rRNA from 1 species